rnacentral:rRNA from 1 species
ACUCCUACGGGAGGCAGCAGUGGGGAAUCUUAGACAAUGGGGGCAACCCUGAUCUAGCCAUGCCGCGUGAGUGACGAAGGCCUUAGGGUCGUAAAGCUCUUUCGCUGGGGAAGAUAAUGACUGUACCCAGUAAAGAAACCCCGGCUAACUCCGUGCCAGCAGCCGCGGUAAUACGGAGGGUGCGAGCGUUAAUCGGAAUUACUGGGCGUAAAGCGCAUGCAGGCGGCCUGUUAAGUCAGAUGUGAAAGCCCGGGGCUUAACCUCGGAAUUGCAUUUGAAACUGGCAGGCUAGAGUCUUGUAGAGGGGGGUAGAAUUUCAGGUGUAGCGGUGAAAAUGCGUAGAGAUCUGAAGGAAUACCAGUGGCGAAGGCGGCCCCCUGGACAAAGACUGACGCUCAGAUGCG